AGGGAGCCCAACAAGUCGUGUGAGGCAGGCCCUUGUUUAGAAGCGAGUUCAGAACAAUCUCCAUCCUCUCCGCCGCCCUUUCCCUUGUGUGCGUGUGUGUGUGUAUUUUUUUCUGAAGGAAUGAUGGAGAAGGGGAGAGAGUCAGACAAGUUUAAUGAUGUGUGUUCAAAGCUCAGAUUGGAAAAAUGACAGAGAAAAGCAGCCUGUUUCGGCUCUAAUAAAUUGUUCUUCGCCGUAAGAGGCGCCUGUCGCGGCAUUAAUACAGGCCCCUAAUACACGGGUCAGGGUUAAGUAAUUUUCUCCGGCAACUUAAGCGAAUAAUGAAGCUGGCGGCGCGGCGGGAGAGAGGGCCCGGCACCGGCGGCACUUUGUCUUCAUUUAUUAUGCCAGCGCUCAUGAUGCCGGCACCGGCCGCACCGGUGGCGGGAAGCCCUCCGCCGAGGAGAUAUCGCUUCAUUUCGGAGAGAACAAUUACCCCUGAGUAUGUGUCCUGGAUUUGA
rnacentral:lncRNA from 11 species